CAGGCGCCCCAGAGGAAUGCCAUUUUUAAGAGCUACCACACCUAAGGGACCAUAGUGCGGGGACUUAAACAGCGGACGAGAGUCUUCUCACUGCUCUGGAGCCUGGAAGUCUGAGAUCCAGCUGUUGGCAAGAACUGCCGCGCGGUGAUCUUUGCUGCCGGUUGGUGCUGGUGGUCAGGAGAGGAAGGUGGAUGAGAGACAGGGGAGAGGAUGUACUAACUGAACCUCGGAUCUGUGGGGUUGAUCUGCCACCACCCCAAGUCUUUGAAGAUGCUCAGUGAGCUGCUGUGGAGAUGUGUGCCGAGGGAUUGGGGUUUGUAGGUGAGAAACAGAGCGGAGCUGGGGAUGCCACUGGGGUGUGACAGACAGCUGAGCAAGGGUCCACGCAGGAAGCUGUGGGCAGGUGUGAGUGCGGAUGGGUGGUAAGGGUUACUGACCUUGCACGGUCAGCUCGUUCUGCAGUGGCAGUGGAAGAGUGGGCCCCUGCCGCACCCCGGUGCUGACCUCCCACCUCAGCCAUCCAUGUGUGCCACCUGCUCAGGCCUCUCCUGGGUCGUGGCCCACUCCUACCUUUCCAACCCAGUG